UACGGAGGGUGCAAGCGUUACUCGGAAUCACUGGGCGUAAAGAGCGCGUAGGCGGGAUAGCAAGUCAGAUGUGAAAUCCUAUGGCUUAACCAUAGAACUGCAUUUGAAACUGUUAUUCUAGAGUAUGGGAGAGGUAGGUGGAAUUCCUAGUGUAGCGGUGAAAUGCGUAGAUAUUAGGAGGAACACCAGUGGCGGAGGCGGCUUACUGGACGGUAACUGACGCUGAGGCUCGAAAGCGUGGGGAGCAAACAGG
rnacentral:rRNA from 1 species